AUGAAACAUAGAAAAUGGGCUGGUAACCCUCGCUGCUCAUUUUGCGACCGCAGGGAGACUUACCUGCACCUUUUCUUUCUCUCUCCGGUGGCUAGGAUAGCCUGGCGCACAGUUGGAUCGGUGCUUGGUACUGAUCUUUGUCCGAAUAAUCUUUGUCAGUUCUACUCUUGGUGCUUUGCUUACUUGCCGCAUGGGGAGCGAUACUUUACUGUGGGAUUGACAACUAUAUGCCGGUCCAUCUGGAAUUGCAGGAAUCAAGCUACUUUUGAAUAUAAGAAAAUGGCAUCUCCUUUCGAGAUUGUAUUCACAGCAUGUGUGCAUUUAACCUACUGGGCAAGACUUAUGAAGGGCAAGGAGCGUGCGGAGCGGGAACAUGGCGCAAUGCUGCUGAAAGAAAGUGCCAACAAGAAGAUGAUGAGGCUCUGCUCGACUGGCGACUGCGUAUGUUGA
rnacentral:rRNA from 1 species